GAUGAACGCUGGCGGCGUGCUUAACACAUGCAAGUCGAACGAAGAUAUUUAAAAUGAGAGCUUCGGCAGGAAUUUUUUCUAUCUUAGUGGCGGACGGGUGAGUAACGUGUGGGCAACCUGCCCUGCACUGGGGAAUAAUCAUUGGAAACGAUGACUAAUACCGCAUACGGUUCUUUGGGGGCAUCCCUGAGGAAAGAAAGGAUUUAUUCGGUGCAGGAUGGGCCCGCAUCUGAUUAGCUAGUUGGUGGGAUAACAGCCUACCAAGGCGACGAUCAGUAGCCGACCUGAGAGGGUGACCGGCCACAUUGGGACUGAGACACGGCCCAA
rnacentral:rRNA from 1 species